UAAUAACUGAAGGGCAAAACAGAAGCCUUAGGGGCAGUUAUAAGCUCUCUUUUUUUGGAGAAAUGUUGCUAGUUUAUGUAGUUCCUAACAUUUAAAAAAAAAUUAAAAAUAAGUACCAUUUGUUCAUAAGAAAAGAGUAAUUGGUAAAAAGUAGAUAAAAUGAUGAACAGUUUUCAAAAUAUGAAUCAGCUCUCUCUUAAGGUUUUAUACUGUUUUGCAAAAAGAAGCUGGUGAAGUUUGCACUGCAAAACGACCUGGAUAAACCAGGGAUCUGAACAGGUAAGGCCUGAGCACUGUCACCACUGUACUUUCACUCCCUCACCAAGAGGUGUUGCCGCAUAUACUGGUUGGAUAACUAACUGCUUCCGUGUUGGGGUAACUUCCCGGUAAGGAGUGCUUCCUUUUUGGACCCAGCCUGCUUUACUGUAAUCUUACCAGGGCUGCGGAAGAAAAGUAAAGUCUAAAAUGUGAACCCAGAAGCAAAGUUCCGUCAGACUACAACUUUAGUCUACAUUGUUUCUGUGAACAUUGGUGAACAAAUAUCUGUCUGAGUUCCUGCUUUCGUUGGGGCAUAAACCCAGAAGUGGAACUGCUGGAUCAUAUGAACCUUCAUUCUAGUGGGAGACAACCAAUAAACAAAAUACACAACAUAUUACAUGGCAAGAGGCACAGGAAAAACAGAGCAAGCUGCCGUGAGUGAGUAGAUGACGUGGAAGCAAGUGUAGAACUGGGAGACCAGCCCGGUGGCCUUUGCUAUUGUCCAGGUGUAAGAAGACGGCGGCUUGGAUCAGAGUGGCUGUGAUGGAGGUGGUGAGCUGAGAUCAGAUUCUGGGUAUAUUUUUAAGAUAGCGCUGGUGGGAUUUGCUGAUGGAGUGGAUGUGAGGUGUGGAAGAAUCAAGGAUGACUCCAAAGUUUUUAGUCUGGAAGAAUGGAGUUGCCAUUUCAUGAAAUAGGGAACACUAAAUCACAGUUCUUUGGUGGGGUGGGAGGGGGGUUAACAGUCUGGUUUAGACUAUAUUAAGUCUACCACACCUAUCAGACAUUCAAGCAGUGCUGUAAAGUAGGCAGUUAAGUGCGAGUCUAGUGUUUAGGGGAAAGGCGUGGGCUGGAGAUUCAAACGUGGGUUUCAUUUGGCCAGAGAUCUGGAUGGGGCUGCUGAGGGAGAAAGAACAGAGAGGAGAAGCAGUCCAAGUUGUGAGAUCUGAAUCCUGGGCUACUCCAGCAUUUAGAGGCUGGAAAAAGAGGGCAACCAGCAAGGGGACUAAGUAACAGUCAUUUAGGAAGCAAGAGAGAAAUACAGAAUGGAAUUCUGGCAGGCA